AUGGCGGACCGCGUCCACCCCGCGCCACUGCUGCCACUCUCCACCCCACCUGCCCCGCCGACUGACAACAGAGACGCGGCCGCGGAGAACGCGCCGCUGCGCUCCACAGCGGCGGCGCCGGGCGCGUCGUACGUCGUGCAUGUGCCCAAGGACCAGGUGCUCCGGGUCCCGCCCCCGGACCGCAAGCUCGCCGCGCGGACGGCCCGGCGCCGCAUGCUCCGCCGCGCCUGCUGCGGCGCGUGCUGCGCGCUCCUCCUCCUGCUCGUCCUCGCCGCGGCGUUCGUCGGCGCCGUCUACCUCGUCCUCCGCCCUAGGGCGCCCUCCUUCUCCGUCACAUCCCUCUCCGUCGCCGGCCUCCUCGACCCCUCCCCCGCGCAGCUCGACGCCGCCGUGCGCGCGGACAACGGCGCCAACAGGAAGGUCGGCGUGGACUACCGCGGCGGCGGCGAGGUCAGCGUCUCCUACUCCGGCGUCCUCCUCGCGACGGGCCGCUGGCCGGCCUUCUACCAGGCGCCGAGGAACGUGACGCUGAUCUCGAUGCCGCUCACCGGGAGGGACGGCGUGGCCCUCACGGACGAUCAGAGGGGGCGGCUGGCGGAGCAGGCCGCGGCGGGCGCCGUGCCGCUGACGGUGGAGGCGCGGGUGCCGGUGCGGGUGAGGCUCGGGAAGGUGCUGCGGACGUGGACCGUGGACGUGUGGGCGCGGUGCGAGGUCACGGUGGACAGGAUCGACGGCGAGACGACGGCCGCCAACAGGGGGUGCAGGGUCAAGGCCAAGCCGCUCUGGUGGUGGUGGUGA
rnacentral:rRNA from 1 species